GACCUCGGAUCAGACGUGAGUACCCGCUGAACUUAAGCAUAUCACUAAGCGGAGGAAAAGAAACUAACCAGG
rnacentral:rRNA from 1 species